GACGUAGGGCGCGAGCGUUGUCCGGAUUUAUUGGGCGUAAAGAGCUCGUAGGCGGCUUGUCGCGUCGAAUGUGAAAACCCACGGCUCAACUGUGGGCUUGCAUUCGAUACGGGCAGACUAGAGGUAUGCAGGGGAGAACGGAAUUCCUGGUGUAGCGGUGAAAUGCGCAGAUAUCAGGAGGAACACCGGUGGCGAAGGCGGAUCUCUGGGCCGUAACUGACGCUGAGGAGCGAAAGCAUGGGGAGCGAACAGG
rnacentral:rRNA from 1 species